rnacentral:misc_RNA from 1 species
AUUGCACCUCUCAAGCACUGCUUGGUAUUGGGGUCGCCCGCCGUGGCCUCCCCGGAUCUCAGUGGCGGUCCAGCGAGACUUCAAGCGUAGCAAGAUUUUACAUCCCGCUUUGGAAGCUUCCCGCUGCGUGCCAGCCAGUCAACCACCCCACACUUUCAAUGAUUGACCUCGGAUCAGGUAGGGAUACCCGCUGAACUUAA